CAGAAGAACUAGUAUAAAUGGUUAAAGAUGAAAGAAUGCAGAAUAAGGCAGGAUUGAAAGGAAGAAAGAACUAGUCAUCAGUAAAGAAACAGAUCAAUUUAUAUAACAUGUAAUAAUUCCAUCUGAAUAUAACAAACAUUGCACAUGUUAUGAAGAUUUGUUCACAUGUCUACUCUGAUUUGUACCCGUAGUUAUGUAUUUGUAAUAUUAUAUAGUACAUGUAUUUUAUUUUAGAACAGUAAUUUUUUUUUCCUGUGGAGAACAUCAAAGAAAUUUAGAAAAAUAUAAUUAAAGAUAGUUUCUUCCAUUUUUUCUGUGACAAAAAAAAAAUUGUGCAAAUUAGGAAAAUGAAAUGAGGCUAUAUUAUUAAAUAUUUUUGAGUUUUAGUUUUUUUUUACGUCCUAUUUUAAAAUUUCAUUGGCAUUUGAAGUAAUGAGUUGAAACCAGUUUUUAUCAAUCAUUUGUUUUUUCAAGAUGUACAAACAGUACAGUAGGUUAAGUCUUUGGUGUACAUUAGUUUACUAUGAUGUUAAGGUCAAAUAAACUUGAAACUUUGUACUUACAAGUGUUCAUUAUGAAGUCAUUUU